CGCCUACACCUCUGCCAUGCUCGACUGCCUUGUUUCUACCAUGUCCCGCCUUCUGGGAGAGCACUAUAUUCCCAAGGGGCUGUUAGAAAGGUAGUUGACUUAUUUUCUCAAUAUGAGGCAGGGAGCGAGGUAUGACUGGCCUAGUAUGUUAGUGCUCAUGUGGUGACGUGGACAAUGAUAUGCAUGAGAAUUCUUCAAUGGCCAUUAUCCUGCUCUAGUCAAUUCUACGGUUAGUCUACAUAGGUUGAGUGUCAUGAUUUUAGUUAAGUUGCCCACUCAUUGCAUCAUCAUCCGCCAUAGUCACAGGUGCUAGUACCCGGUAGCCAUGCCAUCGCCGUUGCAUGCAUCCAUGUUGUCAUCCAUGCACCUACACGUAGGAGUUAAUUGAAAGCCUAAGAGUAUGAGAAAUUUCUUAGGCCUAUGCGCAACACCAACGAGGUCCGUAUUUGUUCGAAUCUAGUUGACAAAUCUAAUGACCUCUUUUUAAAUCUAACACGACCCUUGUGGGUAAGAAUUUAAGAAAUUCAAAGGGGGUAAGUGAAUAGACACAGGCACAUUUGAAAUAGUGGGAACAUUGGAGGCAAGCUAGAUUUAGAAAGAGAACAGAGACUCUUAUGCAUAAUCGCCAUGGUCCCCUGUGCAUCCCCGCCGUGGUCUUGAAUUGCUUUUUUUAGGGUGGUUCGACCGAGCCUAAUUAUUCGGCCAAAGGCUUUUUUUAUUUUUUCGGUAUUUAUUUUUGUUUUAUAUUUUUUUCUGGAAAUAAAGUCAGCUUGUAAAAUAUAAAUGAAAAUCAAAAUGAAGUCCAAAAAUUAUGAAAUAAAUUUUGUUAGAACUUUUAUAAGGAGAUCCACUGAGGAGAUCUAUACACUGGAAGCAUAUGAAAACACUAUGUUAGGUAAUUAAUGUUCACUAAAUAAUUAUAUCUAAGAAGAACACCCUAUGAUAUUUUAUAGAUAAUUCAUGAACUCAAUAUAAAUCUGGAAAAAUCAUUGUUGGUUUAGCAUGUUACUUGAAGCUUUCCCGCCAAGUUUCAUUAUUUAUGGAGUUUACUACUGUUCAAAUAAUUGUGGAGGCCACAUUGGAUGUCCAGAAAUUAGAAAAUUUGUACAGUAUGUUUUAGACAUCAGUAGGACUAUGGAAAAGGUUUGACACCUUUUAGAGCUUGCUUUAAUCAGAUAUGAUUUAAAUUCUAAUUUGGUUUGCAUAAUUAUUAAGGUAGGUUAUUUUUUAAAAAAUCAUGUUUUUUUACAAUAAUCUUGUCCCUAAUUAAGGUAACUACAAUAAAAUUAAGUUUCAAGUCCAGAAUACAACAAUUGAGUUGGUUAAUAACUACCUCUUCAUUCUUGUUAGAUUAAUAUAAGAAAGGGAAUAUAUUUUAUUUACUAAAUUUGUCUUUAUCUUUCUCUUAAAUGUGUUGUGUUGAAAAUGGAAUAGAGUGCACCUGUAGUAGAGGAAGCUUUGUACCACAUCUUAAUUGCUUGAAAUUCAUCUAAACAAUUAAACUUUUUAUCAUGUGAACUUUACGUUGCAAAUGUUGCAUCUAUGCAUCCAUGUGUCUGUAUGAACUCAUUAUGCACCUUUUAUGCAUGGAAGCGGAAAGUGUUGAAGCCCCACCAACCCUGUUGUCUGAUCUUUUAUUUUCAUGCACUUGUUAUGUUGUUAUUAUAAAUUAGGUUGUAGGAGUUGGUUGAAACUUACUUGUAUAAAUAUCCUUAUCCUAUUUGUCUUACUAGCAUGAUAUGUUUUGCGUACAUGCUAUGCUUAG
rnacentral:lncRNA from 1 species